UACGGAGGGAGCUAGCGUUGUUCGGAAUUACUGGGCGUAAAGCGCACGUAGGCGGCUUUUUAAGUCAGGGGUGAAAUCCCGGGGCUCAACCCCGGAACUGCCCUUGAAACUGGAGAGCUAGAAUCUUGGAGAGGCGAGUGGAAUUCCGAGUGUAGAGGUGAAAUUCGUAGAUAUUCGGAAGAACACCCAGUGGCGAAGGCGACUCGCUGGACAAGUAUUGACGCUGAGGUGCGAAAGCGUGGGGAGCAAACAGG
rnacentral:rRNA from 1 species